rnacentral:rRNA from 1 species
GAUGAACGCUGGCGGCGUGCUUAACACAUGCAAGUCGAACGGGAAACCUUUUAUUGAAGCUUCGGCAGAUUUAGCUGGUUUCUAGUGGCGGACGGGUGAGUAACGCGUGGGUAACCUGCCUUAUACAGGGGGAUAACAACCAGAAAUGGUUGCUAAUACCGCAUAAGCGCACAGGACCGCAUGGUCCGGUGUGAAAAACUCCGGUGGUAUAAGAUGGACCCGCGUUGGAUUAGCUAGUUGGCAGGGUAACGGCCUACCAAGGCGACGAUCCAUAGCCGGCCCGAGAGGGUGAACGGCCACAUUGGGACUGAGACACGGCCCAGACUCCUACGGGAGGCAGCAGUGGGGAAUAUUGCACAAUGGGGGAAACCCUGAUGCAGCGACGCCGCGUGAAGGAAGAAGUAUCUCGGUAUGUAAACUUCUAUCAGCAGGGAAGAUAGUGACGGU